rnacentral:rRNA from 1 species
AUUGAACGCUGGCGGCAUGCCUUACACAUGCAAGUCGAACGGCAGCACGGGUGCUUGCACCUGGUGGCGAGUGGCGAACGGGUGAGUAAUACAUCGGAACGUACCUUAUCGUGGGGGGUAACGCAGCGAAAGCUGUGCUAAUACCGCAUACGCCCUGAGGGGGAAAGCGGGGGAUCGAAAGACCUCGCGCGAUUAGAGCGGCCGAUGCCUGAUUAGCUUGUUGGUGGGGUAAAAGCCCACCGAGGCGACGAUCAGUAGCUGGUCUGAGAGGACGAUCAGCCACACUGGGACUGAGACACGGCCCAGACUCCUACGGGAGGCAGCAGUGGGGAAUUUUGGACAAUGGGGGAAACCCUGAUCCAGCAAUGCCGCGUGAGUGAAGAAGGCCUUCGGGUUGUAAAGCUCUUUUGUCAGGGAAGAAACACCGGCUCUAACACAGUCCGGGAAUGACGGUACCUGAAGAAUAAGCACCGGCUAACUACGUGCCAGCCGCCGCCGUAA